rnacentral:rRNA from 1 species
GACGAACGCUGGCGGCGUGCCUAAUACAUGCAAGUAGAACGCUGAAGGAGGAGCUUGCUUCUCUGGAUGAGUUGCGAACGGGUGAGUAACGCGUAGGUAACCUGCCUGGUAGCGGGGGAUAACUAUUGGAAACGAUAGCUAAUACCGCAUAAUAUUUACUAUUGCAUGAUAGUCAGUUGAAAGGUUCAACUGCACCACUACCAGAUGCACCUGCGUUGUAUUAGCUAGUGGGUGGGGUAACGCCUCCCCAAGGCGACGAGACAUAGCGGACCUGAGAGGGGGAUCGGCCACACUGGGAGUGUGACACGGCACAGAGUCCUACGGGAGGCAGCAGUAGGGAAUCUUGGGCAAUGAGCGGAGGUCUGACCGAGCAACGCCGAGGGCGUAAGGAAGGUCUUCGGAUCGUAAAGCUCUGUUGUAAGGGAAGAACGAGUGUGAGACUGGAAAGAUCACACUGUGACGGUAUCUUACCAGAAAGGGACGGCUAACUACGUG